CAUUUUGGUUUCAAUUCGACGCAACGCGAAGAACCUUACCUGGGCUCGAGAUGCAGAUGACAUCCGGCGAAAGUCGGCUCCCGCAAGGGCAUCUGUAUAGGUGCUGCAUGGCUGUCGUCAGCUCGUGUCGUGAGAUGUUGGGUUAAGUCCCGCAACGAGCGCAACCCUCGUCCUCUGUUGCCAUCAGGUCAAGCUGGGCACUCUGAGGAGACUGCCGGUGAUAAACCGGAGGAAGGUGGGGAUGACGUCAAGUCAGCAUGGCCUUUAUGUCCAGGGCUACACACGUGCUACAAUGGCGGAUACAAACCGUUGCAAUCUCGCAAGAGUGAGCUAAUCGGAGAAAGUCCGUCUCAGUUCAGAUUGGAGUCUGCAACUCGACUCCAUGAAGCUGGAAUCGCUAGUAAUCGGAGAUCAGCACGCUCCGGUGAAUACGUUCCCGGGCCUUGUACACACCGCCCGUCACACCAUGGGAGUCGGUUGCUCCAGAAGCAGGUAGCCUAACCGUAAGGAGGGCGCUUGCCAAGGAGUGGUCGGUGACUGGGGUGAAGUCGUAACAAGGUAACCGUAG
rnacentral:rRNA from 1 species